CCUUACCCUCCUUAGGGUGCUUUUGAUAGCAACACCCAUGAACCACAGGAUGAUUGACUUGGCCUCAUGAGUAUCAACUUCUGCUGCACUUUCAGAAAGAGACAUUAUCUGGAAGGACCCUCAAAGACACUAGUGUCUCCCACUUCUAACAUCAGAUGAUUGGCACAGUUUCCACUCCAGAAAGCUUAAACUACUAUAGACCUCCUCCCCUCAAAUGGCCUGACUGUGAAGAAUUGCUUAUUUCUGCAAAGCUACAAGAAAUCCACAUGGAGCUUGGAGAGGUUCAGUGUCUUAAGGCUGUUCUUGAAAGACAAAACGGGACACUAUGACAAGGUCUGUUUCAACCAGAGUUCAAAGACGGGAGGAGUUGGGACUAGGCAACAGCAUUCCGCGCAUGGAGUUUCAGAUAAAGUGUGUUGGGACUGUGUGACUUCAGCUACCACAAGAAUCAUAGGUUCGUGCUUUCCCAAAGGUCAAAUUAGACACAGCUAUCCAAGAAACCCACACCAGCUCCUGAUUGGUUCAGAAACUGUCCAUCUAGGAUCUGCCUCCUGAGUGGCUCAGAACUCAAUCAGACAUCAUCAUUGGUUCACUCUUCAUGGUGGCAGGAAAUUCAAUAAACUCUCAUUGGACCA